rnacentral:tRNA from 1 species
GCGGGAGUGGCGGAACUGGCAGACGCGCAAGACUUAGGAUCUUGUGCCUGUGGGCGUGGGGGUUCAAGUCCCUUCUCCCGCACCA